GCUGAAUGUUCAUUCAACAGACAAGGCCAGUUCUCUUAAUGAGUUCUCAAUCUGUUCUUGCAUAUCUUUCUCCCCUUCAUCCAGUUGGACAAGGGAGACAGUAGCUGUUGCAUCACUGUCAGGGUGACAUGCUUUGGAAGUUCUCUACGGAAACUCAGAAGUCUGUAGGUUUUCCUGCCUAGCCAAUAACCUUAAAAGAAUUUGUUCAGAAGAAAGCUUACAUAGCACUGGCAUGCAGCCUUCUGAAAAGACAGCAGAAGUUUGUUUGAUUUUUUUCCCUCCACAAAGAUCACAAAGGUCCCAAUUUAUAAGCUACACAGAGACAGCUUCAGAGGGAGCAAAGGCUACGUCAGGAAGAGAAGGGGUAAGAUCACUCUGAUGUUUCUGCAGAGCUGGAGGAGGAAAUGGACCAGGAAGCUUUAGAAGAAGAUAACAAGCCAUCCACACCAGCAGCAACAGCCACCCCCCAAGAGAGCCCACAGCAAGUGAGGAUGGAGGAGCCUAAAGCAGCAUCACCACCACUUCAUGGCACCCACCAAGGGGAGGGAGGACCACUGAAUCCUACCUUUCUGGACAUGCUGAAGCACAGUACCAGUGUCCUCCCAGAGAUAAAGGAGAAAUGAGUAGGGUUUUUUCCUUUCUGCUCCCCUGUCCCUGAUAUAACUAAACUCAAUACUAUAUAUCAUCAGCUGCCCUUUGAAAGUCUCUCUCUAUAUUCUACAAAUUCAAGACAAUAAUGUAUGUUUCUGUUUUCUGAUUCCAUGUAUUUUUCUGUGUUGCUUGCUUUCAUUUUUGGCUUUUAUGGGCAUCAUAGUAAAGGGCACGUCAACAAAACAUGUUAUAUUAUCCUACUAUCUUUUUAAUCCAUGUUGCCUCCAAUGUUUCACACCAUUGUCCUCACUUGACCAAACUACAUAGAAGCAAUGUUGUACAAUAAAUGUUAUAAAAAAUUAUUUGACCCCCCCAAAGUGAUGGUCUUGCUCUAUACAUCAAGGGCCUAAUUACUACUAUAUUUGUUUCAAAACGUUAGGGACUAAAAGUACCUUAUCCAAAUUUAGGUUGAAUUAUGAUUGCAGUGCUAUAAAAUUUGUGUUUAUGAAACUACAGCUACGAGUCAUAUAUUCUACCAUAUGAUGCACCAAUGACUUUCAGAUUAAUGUACUUUACCUUGACAACCCUCUUCUUUUAAUAGAGCAACACCUUGUUAUUGAAAUCAGUGCGGUCCAAGAUAAGCUGGACAAGAUGAGGGAAGGCAUAGAUAAUCUGCAACUCCGCUUUUAAUUUUUGUAUCAAAGUCUGUUUACAUUCCUUUUUAUACAACUUUAUAUUUUUAUACAAGCUCCAUUUUUUAUAAUUGUUGUU